rnacentral:rRNA from 1 species
UUUAUAUUAUUAAUCUAUAAUCCAAUCUGCUCAAUGAAUAUUAAAUAGCCGCAAUAGUGCUAAGGUAGCAUAAUAAUUUGUCUUCUAAUUAAAGACUAGAAUAAAAGAUUCAACAUUUCAAUUAAUUUAUUAAAACUAAAGUUUUUAAAUUAUUUUAAUUUUAAUAAAAAAAUUAUUAAAAAAAAAGACGAUAAGACCCUAUUGAACUUAACUUCAGUUAAACUGGGGCAGUGAAUCAAUUAUUAUUUUUAAUAUAAACAAUAUCAAUAUGACCUAAUUUAAUUAAUUAAUAAAUCAAGUUACCAUAGGGAUAACAGCGUAAUAAAAUUUUAAAGCUCUUAUUAAAAAUAAUGAUUACGACCUCGAUG